GCCUGGUUAGCUCAGCUGGUUAGAGCGUCGUACUAAUAUCUUACUUGAGAGAUAUCAUGUAAUGCGAAGGUCAACAGUUCAAUCCUGUUACUGGGCA
rnacentral:tRNA from 1 species